UCCGCACUGGUGUAACGGCUAGCAUAACGCGCUUUCAUGUAAAGAUUCUUCUCAAGAAGUCUCUUAUAGAUCCGCGUAGACCGGGGUUCGACUCCCCGGUGCGGAA